AGUGAACGCUGGCGGUAGGCCUAACACAUGCAAGUCGAACGGCAGCACAGGAGAGCUUGCUCUCUGGGUGGCGAGUGGCGGACGGGUGAGGAAUACAUCGGAAUCUACCUUUUCGUGGGGGAUAACGUAGGGAAACUUACGCUAAUACCGCAUACGACCUUCGGGUGAAAGCAGGGGACCUUCGGGCCUUGCGCGGAUAGAUGAGCCGAUGUCGGAUUAGCUAGUUGGCGGGGUAAAGGCCCACCAAGGCGACGAUCCGUAGCUGGUCUGAGAGGAUGAUCAGCCACACUGGAACUGAGACACGGUCCAGACUCCUACGGGAGGCAGCAGUGGGGAAUAUUGUACAAUGGGCGCAAGCCUGAUCCAGCCAUACCGCGUGGGUGAAGAAGGCCUUCGGGUUGUAAAGCCCUUUUGUUGGGAAAGAAAAGCAGCCAGUUAAUACCUGGUUGUUCUGACGGUACCGGAAGAAUAAGGACCGGCUAACUACGUGCCAGCCGCCGCCGUAA
rnacentral:rRNA from 1 species